rnacentral:rRNA from 1 species
AGAGUUUGAUCAUGGCUCAGGACGAACGCUGGCGGCGUGCUUAACACAUGCAAGUCGAACGGUGAAGGUGGGAGCUUGCUCCUACCGGAUCAGUGGCGAACGGGUGAGUAACACGUGAGUAACCUGCCCCAGACUCUGGAAUAACCCCGGGAGACCGGAGCUAAUACCGGAUACGAGACGAAGCUGCAUGGCUAUCGUCUGGAAAGUUUUUCGGUCUGGGAUGGACUCGCGGCCUAUCAGCUUGUUGGUGAGGUAACGGCUCACCAAGGCGACGACGGGUAGCCGGCCUGAGAGGGUGACCGGCCACACUGGGACUGAGACACGGCCCAGACUCCUACGGGAGGCAGCAGUGGGGAAUAUUGGACAAUGGGCGAAAGCCUGAUCCAGCAACGCCGCGUGAGGGAUGACGGCCUUCGGGUUGUAAACCUCUUUCAGUAGGGACGAAGCGCAAGUGACGGUACCUGCAGAAGAAGCGCCGGCUAACUACGUGCCAGCAGCGGCGGUAAUAC